CAAAGUUUGGCUUGCAAUAAUUACAAAACCCUUCACCUACAUACCUAACCAAAUGUGCAAACUGAUAUUUCAGAAUAUAUCUUGCAUUUUAUUUUAGUUUAACAAGCAGGUGAUCAGAUAAGCUAGCGAUAUAUAAUGCUAGUCUUUGGCCAUAUUCUAGUUGAGUGAGCAUAGACUUUAUAUACUUCAUUGCUGUUGUUUUUAGACCUAUAUUACAAAUGAGAAUACUUGAGAGAUUUUCAUCAAUCUCACAUGGAUAUAUGUUUGUCCUUUGCUUGGUCGGAGGAAAGGUCAGUAGCUUCUGCAUUUAUCUUGAG